rnacentral:rRNA from 1 species
UGCCAGCCGCCGCGGUAAUACGGAGGGUGCAAGCGUUAAUCGGAAUUACUGGGCGUAAAGCGCGCGUAGGCGGUUGAGUGAGUCAGAUGUGAAAGCCCCGGGCUCAACCUGGGAACGGCAUUUGAUACUGCUUGACUAGAGUCUGACAGAGGGUGGCGGAAUUCCGGGUGUAGCGGUGAAAUGCGUAGAUAUCCGGAGGAACACCGGUGGCGAAGGCGGCCACCUGGGUCAAGACUGACGCUGAGGUGCGAAAGCGUGGGGAGCGAACAGGAUUAGAUA